rnacentral:rRNA from 1 species
GAUGAACGCUGGCGGCGUGCCUAAUACAUGCAAUUCGAGCGAACGGACGAGAAGCUUGCUUUUCUGAUGUUAGCGGCGGACGGGUGAGUAACACGUGGAUAACCUACCUAUAAGACUGGGAUAACUUCGGGAAACCGGAGCUAAUACCGGAUAAUAUUUUGAACCGCAUUGUUCAAAAGUGAAAGACGGUCUUGCUGUCACUUAUAGAUGGAUCCGCGCUGCAUUAGCUAGUUGGUAAGGUAACGGCUUACCAAGGCAACGAUGCAUAGCCGACCUGAGAGGGUGAUAGGCCACACUGGAACUGAGACACGGUCCAGACUCCUACGGGAGGCAGCAGUAGGGAAUCGUCCGCAAAGGGCGAAAGCCUGACGGAGCAACGCAGCGUGAGUGAUGAAGGUCUUCGGAUCGUAAAAAUCUGUGAUUAGGGAAGAACAUAUGUGUAAGUAACUGUGCACAUCUUGACGGUACCUAAUCAGAAAGCCACGGCGAACUACGUG